rnacentral:tRNA from 1 species
GUCACGAUAGCUCAAGUGGUGGAGUAGCGGCGUAGCAAGCCGAAGGUCGUGGGUUCGAAUCCCGCUCGUGACA